AUGAAGACUCCCAUUGAAGUUCUCCUUAAUGAACAACCGGACUACACCUUUCUCAAGGUGUUUGGGUGUGCUUGCUGGCCCCAUCUUCGUCCAUAUAACAAGCGUAAGCUCGAGUUUCGUUCCAAGAAGUGUGUUUUUCUUGGUUAUAGCUCUCUUCAUAAAGGAUACAAAUGUCUUCAUGUUCCCACUAAUCGUGUCUACAUCUCUCGGGAUGUUGUGUUUGAUGAGCAUGUUUUUCCCUUUGCCAAACUCCCUGUGUCCACUACCGAGCCACCUGUCAUGCAUUCAUCCUCUGUUGCUUCUGACCAAUUUGAUGAUGUUGCAUAUUCUCCUCUAUUGUUGCCUAACCAUGGUGCAGGCACUGGUCGUGGGGCUCGUUUGGAGAUUCUGGAAGCGCCAUCUUCCUCUUCGUCGCCAUCGCCCUCAUCCUCGGCACCUUCUGUUGUGCAUGAGGAGCACAUGGCGCCCCUGCAUGGCCUCGGUUUCCGUGCUCAUGCACGGCCGAUCGACGUCCUGGCCCGGUCGCCUCUAGCUUCUGGGCUGCCUUCGCCAUCAUCGCGCCCUGCAACCCCGUCGACUGGGCCGGCCUCCUCGGUCCCCGUCUCGCCCAGGGCGUCGGGGCAGUCAUCACCAGGCCUGGCCUCGCCCACCCCUGCCUCGCCCAGGGUGUCUGGGCCCUUCUCACCAGGGCCGGCCUCGCCUGCUCUCGCCUCGCCAAGGCCGUCUGGGUCGGUGUCACCGGAGCUGGCCUCGCCCACCCUCGGUUCGCCCAUGGCCUCUAAGCCCCUGUCGUCGGACCAGUCUUCGCCAUGCAGCCCGGAGUCGUCUGUCCCGAGCUCGCCUGAGGUGAUUCCUGCAUCUCCGGCGACCGUCACGUCUCCGUCACCUUCGCCUCCGCCGGCUCCUGCUGCUGCUCUACGUCCACAUACGCGCAGUCGGAGUGGCAUUUUUCAGCCUAAGCAACGUCACGAUGGCACAGUUGCUUGGUUAGCGGCGUGCAUGUCUGCUGCUCUCGCAGAUCCAUCCUCUGAGCCACGCACGUAUCAAGCUGCUAUGCGCAUUCCUCAUUGGAGAGAGGCCAUGGAGCAGGAGUAUCAAGCGCUUCUUCGCAAUCAGACAUGGACUCUUGUUCCUCCACAAUCACGGGUAAAUGUCAUUGAUUCCAAAUGGGUUUUCAAAGUGAAGAGGCAUUCUGAUGGGUCCAUUGAGCGCUAUAAGGCUCGUCUGGUUGCUCGUGGUUUUCGACAGCGUUUUGGACUUGACUAUGAAGACACCUUCAGUCCAGUGGUCAAGCCUACUACCAUCAGACUUCUUCUCUCUCUGGCUGUUACUCGAGGUUGGUUUCUUCGUCAGCUUGAUGUUCAAAAUGGUUUUCUUCAUGGUGUCUUGGCAGAGGAGGUUUACAUGCGCCAGCCUCCGGGUUUCUCUGAUCCGGAUCGCCCUGAUCAUCUCUGUCGUCUGUCCAAGGCAAUUUAUGGUCUGAAGCAGGCUCCUCGUGCUUGGCAUGCUCGUCUUGCAAUGGCUCUUCGUGCUCAUGGUUUUGCAUCAUCAACUGCCGACUCCUCAUUGUUUCUUCUUCAAAGGCCUGAGGUUACUAUGUACUUGUUGGUCUAUGUAGAUGAUAUCAUUUUGGUCAGCUCCUCUCAGUCGGCUGCUACUGCGCUUGUUCGCUCACUUGGUGCUGAUUUUGCGGUCAAGGAUCUUGGGAAGCUUCAUUACUUUCUUGGUGUGGAGGUUACUUCUCAUGCUGCUGGCCUUGUUAUGACGCAGAAGAAGUACUCUCUGGAUUUGUUGCAGCGAGCUGGGAUGCUUAAAUGCAAACCGACGACUACACCCAUGUCUACCACUGAUAAGCUCAAUGCUGUUGAUGGUGUGCUUCUUUCUUUUUCUGAUGCGACCGAGUACCGGAGUAUUGUUGGUGGGCUCCAGUACUUGACGAUCACGCGACCAGACAUUUCCUAUGCUGUUAACCGAGUCUGCCAGUAUCUGCAGUCACCCCGUGACACUCAUUGGUCUGCUGUUAAGCGGAUUUUGCGCUAUAUUCGUUUCACGGUGGCUCAUGGUUUGCAUAUCCGGCCGUCUGACUCUGGUUAUCUUUCAGCAUAUUCUGAUGCAGACUGGGCUGGCAAUCCGGAUGACAGGCGAUCCACGGGGGGUUAUGCUGUCUUCUUUGGCUCUAACCUGAUUGCUUGGAGUGCUCGGAAACAGGCUACUGUCUCGCGUAGCAGUACUGAGGCUGAGUAUAAGGCUGUGGCCAAUGCCACAUCAGAGAUUAUCUGGGUACAGUCCUUGCUUCAGGAGUUAAGUAUACCCCAAUCACAGCCUCCUGUUCUUUGGUGUGAUAACAUCGGUGCUACAUACCUUUCUGCAAAUCCGGUAUUCCAUGCCCGAACGAAACACAUUGAAGUUGACUAUCACUUUGUGCGUGAACGUGUCUCUCAGAAGCAACUACAGAUCAAGUUUAUUUCUUCCAAGGAUCAACUUGCUGACAUCUUCACCAAGCCAUUGCCUUUGCCACAGUUUGAGACUUGCAGGCGCAAUCUUACCCUUCUAGAUUCAUUAGAAAGUGGCUAA
rnacentral:rRNA from 1 species